rnacentral:rRNA from 3 species
UCUCCUGGAAAACGGGUGGUAAUGCCGGAUGCUCCAGUUGAUCGCAUGGUCUUCUGGGAAAGCUUUCGCGGUAUGGGAUGGGGUCGCGUCCUAUCAGCUUGACGGCGGGGUAACGGCCCACCGUGGCUUCGACGGGUAGCCGGCCUGAGAGGGCGACCGGCCACAUUGGGACUGAGAUACGGCCCAGACUCCUACGGGAGGCAGCAGUGGGGAAUAUUGCACAAUGGGCGCAAGCCUGAUGCAGCGACGCCGCGUGAGGGAUGGAGGCCUUCGGGUUGUAAACCUCUUUUAUCGGGGAGCAAGCGAGAGUGAGUUUACCCGUUGAAUAAGCACCGGCUAACUACGUGCCAGCAGCCGCGGUAAUACGUAGGGUGCAAGCGUUAUCCGGAAUUAUUGGGCGUAAAGGGCUCGUAGGCGGUUCGUCGCGUCCGGUGUGAAAGUCCAUCGCUUAACGGUGGAUCCGCGCCGGGUACGGGCGGGCUUGAGUGCGGUAGGGGAGACUGGAAUUCCCGGUGUAACGGUGGAAUGUGUAGAUAUC